UGGCAAACCAGGGUGAAUCAGGGUCAUCCCGGCCCGACCCUGAAAAAUCAGGGCCGAUCAAGUGCCUUCCAUCACUAUCGAGAAGCAUGUGGCCAAAAUGCACCUUUAAAGAAACAUCCAGAAUUGGAUAGGUUGCUGAGGGAAGAAUAUCGUAGCAUAGAUGACUUCCAUGCAAAAGAGAAGGCAGCAAGAGAAGCUAGUAACAGUAAUAGUAGCAGUCCUGCUGAUAGAGACAAAGAGUCCCAAUUUAUUGGGAAACACAAAUACAGGUCUAAAUUGGCUAGGGAAGUUGAGUUAGAUGCACAUCGAGCAAUACCUGUAAAAGAGUUGAGGAUUGAGAUGGUUCCACCUCUUUGGUGAGUGUGAACUAUGAGUUAAUUUUUGUUCUUAGCGAUUUUGGCCGUUAAGCAUUUUUGUGCAAAUUUUGAAGCUCUCUGCGAGCUUAGUGAGAUGGUCGAUCAGAUUAUUCUCCAGCUGUACAUAAUGAAGGAAAAAAACAAGAGAAAAAAAAGACAAUAAUGGCUGUAUCUGGGAUUUUUUUGGGGAAUGCCCAAUAAUAAUCCGGAAUUUGGCCAGGUAGGUUCUA